CCUACGGGUGGCUGCAGUAAGGAAUAUUGGUCAAUGGACGCAAGUCUGAACCAGCCAUGCCGCGUGGAGGAUGAAGGUCCUCUGGAUUCUAAACUUCUUUUAUUUGGGAAGAAACUCCCGAUUUCCAUAGGGAUUGACGGUACCAGAUGAAUAAGCACCGGCUAACUCCGUGCCAGCAGCCGCGGUAAUACGGAGGGUGCCAGAGUUAUCCGGAUUAAAGGGGGUGAAGGUGUGCAGAUAAGGGCGUGGUGAAAUCUCCGGGCUUAACCCGGAAACUGCCAUUGAUACUAUUGGUCUUGAAUACUCUGGAGGUGAGCGGAAUAUGUCAUGUAGCGGUGAAAUGCUUAGAUAUGACAUAGAACACCCAUUGCGAAGGCAGCUCACUACGGAAAUAUUGACGCUGAGGCACGAAAGCGUGGGGAUCAAACAGGAUUAGAUACCCUAGUAGUC
rnacentral:rRNA from 1 species